AUGGCCUGACUGUUCUGAGGUAUCCUCCAGGGCACCCUGAGUCUACACAUCUAUUCCUAGAAAUUUUAAAGUACAUAAUAGCUAUAGGCUUUCUUUGAGGUGCCGAUGUUGAAAUUCUGGCCUUUGUUCAAACAGUAGGAAGAUUUUACUCAAGACUGUUGCAGUGAAGGAGAGAGAUCUGACUCCACUCUGAACACGAUCCUUUCCCGGAGUUCAGUUAUGGGUGUGAGAGGUUUGCAAGGAUUUGUGGGAAGUACCUGUCCACAUAUAUGUACAGUAGUAAAUUUCAAAGAACUGGCAGAGCACCACCGAAGCAAGUAUCCUGGAUGUACCCCUACCAUUGUGGUUGAUGCCAUGUGUUGUCUCAGAUACUGGUAUACUCCAGAGUCUUGGAUCUGCGGUGGCCAGUGGCGAGAAUACUUUUCUGCUUUGCGAGAUUUUGUUAAAACUUUUACGGCGGUUGGGAUCAAGUUGAUAUUCUUCUUUGAUGGCAUGGUGGAGCAGGAUAAGAGAGAUGAAUGGGUGAAACGAAGGCUCAAGAACAAUAGGGAGAUAUCCAGGAUUUUUCAUUACAUCAAGUCACACAAGGAGCAGCCAGGCAGAAAUAUGUUUUUCAUCCCCUCAGGGCUAGCUGUGUUUACACGAUUUGCUCUAAAGACACUGGGCCAGGAAACUUUGUGUUCCUUACAGGAAGCAGAUUAUGAGGUAGCUUCCUAUGGCCUCCAGCAUAACUGCCUUGGGAUUCUAGGGGAAGACACUGAUUACCUAAUCUAUGACACUUGUCCCUACUUUUCAAUUAGCGAGCUCUGCCUCGAGAGCCUGGACACUGUCAUGCUCUGCAGAGAGAAGCUCUGUGAGAGUCUGGGCCUCCAUGUAGCCGACCUUCCUCUUCUGGCCUGCCUCCUUGGCAACGACAUCAUCCCAGAGGGCAUGUUUGAAAGCUUUAGGUACAAAUGCUUAUCAUCCUAUACCUCUGUAAAAGAGAACUUUGACAAAAAAGGUAACAUCAUAUUAGCUGUGUCAGACCAUAUAUCGAAAGUUCUUCACUUGUAUCAAGGUGAGAGAAAAUUAGAAGAGUUAUUACCUCUGGGACCAAACAAAGCUCUUUUUUAUAAAGGAAUGGCAUCGUAUCUUUUACCAGGACAGAAAUCUCCAUGGUUUUUCCAAAAACCCAAAGGUGUAAUAACUUUGGACAAACAAGUAAUAUCCAUGAGUUCGGACCCUGAGUCCAGGGAAGAAGUUCCCAUGUGUUCAGACCCUGAAUCCAAGCAAGAAGUUCACAUGUGUUCAGACCCUGAAUCCAGGCAAGAAGUUCCCAUGUGUUCAGACCCUGAACCCAGGCAAGAAGUUCCCAUGUGUUCAGACCCUGAAUCCAGGCAAGAAGUUCCCAUGUGUACAGGCCCUGAAUCCAGGCAAGAAGUUCCCAUGUGUACAGGCUCUGAAUCCAGGCAAGAAGUUCCCAUGUGUACAGGCCCUGAAUCCAGGCAAGAAGUUCCCAUGUGUACAGGCCCUGAACCCAGGCAAGAAGUUCCCAUGUGUACAGGCCCUGAAUCUAGGCAAGAAGUUCCCAUGUGUACAGGCCCUCAGUCCGGGCAAGAAGUUUUAAUAUGGACAGACCCUGAAUCUAGGCAAGAAAUUUUGUGUACAGGCCAUGAAUCCAAACAGGAAGUUCCCAUAUGUACAGAUCCUAUAUCCAAGCAAGAAGACUCCAUGUGUACACACCCUGAAAUCAAUCAAAAAUUACCUGUAGCAACAGAUUUUGAAUUUAAGCUAGAAGCUCUCAUGUGUACAAACCCUGAAAUUAAACAAGAAGACCCCACGAAUGUGGGGCCUGAAAUAAAGCAACAAGUAACCAUGGUUUCAGACACAGAAAUCUUAAAGAUUGCUAGAACACAUCACGUCCAAGCAGAGAGCUACCUGGUGUACAACAUCAUGAGCAGUGGAGAGAUUGAAUGCAGCAACACCCUGGAAGAUGAGCUUGACCAGGCCUUACCCAGCCAGGCCUUCAUUUACCGUCCCAUCCGACAGCGGGUCUACUCACUCUUACUGGAGGACUGUCAAGAUGUUGCCAGCACCUGCCCGGCUGUCAAGGAGUGGUUUGUAUAUCCUGGGAACCCACUGAGGCACCCGGACCUCGUCAGGCCACUGCAGAUGAGUGUUCCAGGGGGAACGCCUAGUUUGAAAAUAUUAUGGCUGAAUCAAGAGCCAGAAAUGCAGGUUCGGCGCUUGGACACACUCCUCGCCUGUUUCAACCUUUCCUCCUCAAGAGAAGAACUGCAGGCUGUCGAAAGCCCGUUUCAAGCUUUGUGCUGCCUCUUGAUCUACCUCUUUGUGCAGGUGGACACUCUUUGCCUGGAGGAUUUGCAUGCGUUUAUUGCGCAGGCCUUGUGCCUCCAAGGAAAAUCCACCUCGCAGCUUGUAAAUCUACAGCCUGAUUACAUCAACCCCAGAGCCGUGCAGCUGGGCUCCCUUCUCGUCCGCGGCCUCACCACUCUGGUUUUAGUCAACAGCGCGUGUGGCUUCCCCUGGAAGAUGAGUGAUUUCAUGCCCUGGAAUAUAUUUGAUGGGAAGCUUUUUCAUCAGAAGUACUUGCAGUCUGAAAAGGGUUAUGCUGUGGAGGUGCUUUUAGAACAAAAUAGAUCUCGGCUCACCAAAUUCCACAACCUGAAGGCAGUGGUCUGCAAGGCCUGCAUGAAGGAGAACAGACGCAUCACCGGCCGAGCCCACUGGGGCUCACACCAUGCAGGGAGGUGGGGAAGACAGGGCUCCGGCUACCACAGGACGGGCUCUGGGUAUAGCCGUUCCAGUCAGGGGCAGCCGUGGAGAGACCAGGGACCAGAAAGAGGUUGUAUAGUUCCAGUAAAUAAACAGAUAAGUAUACCGAUGCAUCUAAUUUUUAUCAUUUAGUGAAAUAAAAACAAAUAAUUUCCAUGCUUGAUGCUAGCCCUGUCUGCUUCUGGCCCCUUUAUUCAUUUUCUAUCAGUUCAUUCUGCUCAAGAUCCAGUUUUUGUAAUUUGCUCGCUAGAAGGCACUUGUAAAGUUUACAUGUGGAAGAUCCAUUGUUCUCAUGAAAAAAGGGCAGGUUGUAGUGUUUCACCAUAGCCGUGUUCAGGUGAUAGCAUUCCGAUAUUUUCCGUGACUUGGAUUAUACUGUGAGGUAGAAAAUAGCCCCAACCCUGUGAUUUUUACAUAUAUUGUACAGAUACUGUUUUAAUGCAUGUAUUAUGCUGAAUUUAAAUACAUCGAGAGCUUCACAUCAGGAUUUGAGCUCAAAUUCCUUACAGUUUUGAGAGCCAAACUUCAUAAACUUUGAAAUUACCUAAUAUUUAUCAUUGAAUGCCUUAAAAGCCAAAUCUACCUUUAAUUUAUGGUAUUUGUGACUUUCACAACGUCUCAAAUGUGUAGACUCGCAAGCUGCUCAAAUUAUUCUCUAAAACACAGCAAGUCUUCGGUGUGAAUCCAGUUGACCUUUGGGGUCCGUCUGGGGUGGAGUCUGCAUGGAGGCUGCAGGGCCGCAUGUCUGUUGAGUACCGUGUCCUUUCCUCUUGGGUCUGUGCAGUCAGCAAACAUUGCGAGUCCACCGUAUGAUUGUUCAGGGUAGAUCAGAAUUCGUGGUGACUGUGUUUGAAAUGCCCGUCCUUGAGAGAGGGCUCCAUGAAUUUAGGUUUAUAUGUGCUUGAGAUGUUUCCUUGAAUGAGCCUAACCUGCAGAAACUCUACCCCACCAAGCCGUGUGCUCACUGUCAUCUGGAGCUUCAAGAUGGCCCCCACUGAGCAUGUGCAGUCCGUCCUCUCAUGGUCUCUACUGCAGUUUAACAUAAGGGUCACUUCCACUUUGUCACUGACUAAAUCCAAGUAUUUAUACCAGUGCAGUGCAGCUGAGAUCUGGGCAGAAGACCCUCCGUUUGUGCAAGGAUAUUUGAGAUUGCUUUUAACUUAGAAGGUACUGCAGUUGAUUGGAGUAAACCACGAACAGGGAACCUGAAAACAACAGGAGCGAUUUUGUAAACUGACCUAGCCUCAGACUGAAGCCUGGUGCUGGGGGCCGUUGCCGCUGCCCUCGGUGACUCUGGCCUAGGGGUGCAGUCCUGUGCGAUGCGUGUGCUGUGGCUUUCCAGUUCGCUUCUCCACUCUGGUUAAGAGUCUGCUUUCAGGUCAGAAACUGCAGCCCUGAGGUCGUGUGUGUGUAGAUUGCUCAGCGCCUGUCCUGGGGGCUCCCCGUGGGCUGGGGGCCUACAGCCCUGACCUGGCGGAUCCUGGCGGAUCUGUCUGCAGCUGGCAGUGCACAUUAGGGCUGCUUUGGGAAGAGUGCGGGAUCUGGGCUUCUGAGUCUUUGGGGUGAGAGGCCUUCCUCACAUGAGCCAUGGUGAGGCUGCUCCCAGAGGAAGGUGAGCAUGUGCAGAGCACUUAGGUCCAAAUGGGUGGGUAGAGCUUACGCUCCCCCUCCAUCACUCCCUCGCUCUCUCUGCUGCUUUAAAUAGCAGAUCUGAGAUCUCCUUGACAAGGUGAUAUUUAAGCAAAGGCCUGAUGAGAGGGUGGGAGCUGAUGCCAGACACCUCUGUGCCAGAUGUGGAGACAGAGGAGGCAGUCAGAGCUGUCACGAGGUCAGGUGGGCUAGACCUGGAGGGCCCUGCAGCUCUGUGUGAAUCUGGAGUCCACACCAACCAAGAAGCUGGACCCAGGUGAUUGCAGCAGGUGGUGAGACCUCAGUGACCACAUCCCGUGGAAAUGCUCAAGGCCUGCAGACCGUCCACAUCCAGCUGAUGAUGGCACACAGCUUGGUCUAGAUCUAGGGUCUAGUAAUGUUGGAAAUACUGGGUUGACUGAUGUGGAGUAAAGCCACUGGGUGUAACGGGCAUCCCAGCCUCAUCCAUCCACACCUUCCCGCCCUGGAGAUCCAUGACCAGCCUGGCCGUAAAUGCCAGGCCAACCUCGAUGACAUGAAAGGCAUCGGCCCCUCCAGGUGAGGAUUCAGCAGAACCCACCUGACCCAGUAAGGCAGGCUGGAGGGGAGGGAAGAGCCGCAGCCUCUCUUUCGGGCAGCCUGACUGGGCAGGGCAUGCUGUCGUGUCCCCUACUCCUAGCCUCGUGGUAAGAAAGGGGACCUUCUCUUACCCUCUGGCUUGGAGUUGUCCCCUUCUUCCCCCUGGGCCUCAGGAAGGUGGGGAGGGGAUGGUCAAGAGAGUCCACAGUCCAGAUGGGAGGAUGGGCAAAGGCUGUGGGUUCUGCAGACAGGUGUGCCCGCCCGUCACAUCACGGAGGAAACGAGAGUGUGCCGUCAGGCCUGCCACUGACGGGACGCGUCGCUGCAGGCAACGCCCUGAACCCUUUCCAUCGGGCACGUGCCCUAGAUAACCUUGAGUGUCCUUUCUAGCUCUGGAAUUCUGUGACUUUGGAUUCUAUUUAUUGAAUGGUGGGUGAGACGUUAGUAAAGUGUAACUCUCAGGAGCCAGUAAGGAAGGUGGAACCAUGUCAUAACUCCUAGGAGUGAGUGAGAAAGGUAGAGCUGUGUCAUUUACAGACAGAUGUACCAUCAAGAACAUGCCCCGGCCUGCCCUGAUCUUAGAAGGUAGGUAGAGUGGGACCUGUUUGGUACUGACUCCUCUGGGAAUGGUAAGAGUCACAGGCUUUUCUUUUUUCCCUUUCUUCCAGAGGUGGCCCGCUGUGGUAGCUUCAGACAGACUGACUUUGACUCAAGCCCUGGUUCUGUCCCUUCCCAGUGGCCUGCCCUUAGGGGAUCCCUGGACCCCUGGGCUGCUCCCUGGCUUUUGAUCAGUGUGGCCUGACCAGCUGCAGGGACGGCGCCUCCACAGCACCAGCACCCAGGCGGAGGUGAUCGUGGCCGCUUCUUCCAAAACCAAGUUUUUCCUUUCCUGGCAUUAAUGCUAACAUUUCUCUUAAUAUUUAUGUCAAACUGUUCUGUGAAACAUAAAGCAAUGUCAGUCCUACCUCAGUGUCGCUGUUCUUGCAGAAUGAAGUGAAGCAGGAACAGCACCAAAGCCUGCAGGUGUGGCCUGGAGGGAGCAGAGCCGUCUGCUCCUCCCGGGGCUCCCCCAGCGCAUAGCCCUGGGCCGGGUGCCAGGAAGCAUGCCAUGCACAUUGGCUUCUUUCUUUCUUUAGUGUGAUGACAGAGACAGGAGCGUCUUUGAAGUAGACCAGAAGAACCCCCUUCCUUGGAUUGACAGGAAACAGGUUUUUUUCUGAUUCUGUUAGCAGAGAACAGCGUCCAGAAAUUUCUCCUCCUCGUGCAAAUUAAAACAGCAGAAUGACUUUCCAUAGGCAGAACCGUAGCUAGUCAUUGUCAGCCCUGGAUCCCUGCCCGGGGAAAGUCUCACUCUUGGAACCCUGUGUGCCUCUGCAGCAGAUCCCUCGGCCAGCCGGUAACAGGCAGCCCCCAGUCACCCCUGGUCUUGCCAGAAGUCCGGAAGCCACCAUGGUUUCCUCGUCCUGCCUGGUGGCAGCUCCUUGGGGCAGGCUGAGCUAAGUCUGAGGGAUCUCUAAGUGGCAUGCAGCAGCUGGUUGUGUGGGUGAGGAGACAGCCCUCAGAUGGACACAGGAAGCAGACAGUAUGAGCAUGACCAGUGGAGAAGGUACUAGCCGUCCUCCAGAAAGAGCGUGGAGAGAAAAAGAGGCACACCUGGACGCAGAGCCCUGCUAGCGCCCUCCUCUGCUGUCGCAGCUGCAAGGAGACCAUGCCUGUGGGAGCCGGGCCUCGCUUGCAUGAAGAAGGAAAGAUGCCUUUUCAGUGGUGCCUCCGCCCAUCAUGCAGAAGAGCUUUUGUUGGCUUCUCUCCCGAGCUUGUGCCUGAUUCUGUGGCCCAAAACAAUCAUUGUUAAUAUCUUCGUGUAUUUCAUUCUGAUCUUUCAUUCAUAUAUAUGAUGCCUAGCUAAUUUCAUUUUAAAAUAAAUGGGGAUCUGUUGUAUUCUGAUUUUUUAUUAACAACACUAGAUUAUGAGGGAUUGUCUCCUGUUAUUAGAAAGUCAGAAAACACUAUAUAGUAGUCCUCCCUUAUCUGUGGGAGAGACAUCCCAAGACCCUCAGUGGAUGCCUGAGACUGUGGAUAGUAUGUGUGGAACCCUACAUAUAUGUAUACACGUGGCUUUUUCCUCUACGUACAUACUGUGGCAAAGCUUAACAAGGAACAGUAAGAGAUUAACAGCAGUCAAUAACCAAUAAAAGUUACGUGAAUGUGAUCUCUCUCAAAA